rnacentral:rRNA from 1 species
CCUACGGGUGGCUGCAGUGGGGAAUAUUGCACAAUGGGGGGAACCCUGAUGCAGCAACGCCGCGUGGGUGAAGAAGUACUUCGGUAUGUAAAGUCCUGUCAGCAGGGAAGAAAAUGACGGUACCUGACUAAGAAGCCCCGGCUAACUACGUGCCAGCAGCCGCGGUAAUACGUAGGGGGCAAGCGUUAUCCGGAUUUACUGGGUGUAAAGGGAGCGUAGGCGGCAAGGCAAGUCUGAAGUGAAAGCCCGGGGCUCAACCACGGGACUGCUUUUGAAACUGUGUUGCUGGAGUGCAGGAGGGGUAAGCGGAAUUCCUAGUGUAGCGGUGAAAUGCGUAGAUAUUAGGAGGAACACCAGUGGCGAAGGCGGCUUACUGGACUGUAAAUGACGUUGAGGCUCGAAGGCGUGGGGAGUAAACAGGAUUAGAUACCCUUGUAGUC